UCUUAGAAAAUUCAAGAAUUAAUCCAUCGUUUUUUCCCCCUGAAUGAUGAACUGGAUUUGGAAGCCUCAAUGAAGAACGAAUGCUAAAACUCUCUCUCCUCAGGAAAAAAAAAAACUUAACUGGGGUAGAUUCUUCUCGCUCAUAUAAUGAUGAUUGCGAAUUUGAUUGCAAUAUAUCUUGGAAAUUGGCUAGAAACCAAGCAGUUUAACGACACCACAGUUAAGAAGGAAAUACCCUAGAUAUAUUUGGCAGACGUGGCUCAUUCCAACGACAUUAGAUUACUUGGAGGAAGGAGAUUUUAUUAACUUCACCAAAACUGCAGGCUUCUCACUGUAGACGAGCUCGAUCCCUUCUGGAGUAUCAUUUCAUUGCGCCUAACAGUGAUGAUUAAGAUCAAGCAAUCACUUUUAAACUCCACCACUGGAUACUGCCUCUCCAAAUCUCUAAUGCAAACAAAACACCCUCCAUGAGGGCAUAAGCUUCGGCUUAUAAAGGAGAAGAAACAUUAUACAAUGGUUUCGCCAUACAUAUGCAGUGCAGUCAUCUUUCUCAUUAACAUUCACACCUCCUUGUGAGACCAUUCAUAUUUAUUUUGAGUCUCCUGUAAAAACCAUAUACAUGCUCACAAUAUAUGCACACAAUCAUAAAAGGGA